GUGCAGCCCAGGCUUCUGAGGGAGGCAGAAGAAAGAAAUCCAAGCCUCGGACAAGUUAACUAAGGGCACGGCAGGAAGGAGGUGUCGUCCUCAUCGCCAUGUGCACGUGUCAUCCGUCAGUGCUCCAUGCAGUGCUCCACCACGGCAUCCGCCACUCUGCCACCAGCUCCGCGGGGAUGGACGCACAGGCCCCAGUCAUGGCCCUGCCCUGAGGAGAUGCUGGUCGUCUUCCUGCUCAUUCACUCCCCUGUGCUGCACUGCUGGGGUCAGACAAGGCUCCAUCCAAGAACCCAUGACUUCAAAAGAAAGAAACCUUUGUCCUCAAAUUUGGUAACAGGCAAACGGUCUGCGUGGAAGCCCUGUCUGCAGCCUCUGCUCACUCCAGGACGUGCUGCCCUCACUGCUCCUCUGAUGUGCCCCCGGCUCAAGGCUGAGCAUUCCCGUAUCCACGCAGGAAGGCCGGGGGACUGGCUCCCAAACAGCGGCCAGGACCUUGGGGGCACCCAGGGAGACUGGGGCCCUGCACCUCAGGGCUUUGGAUCCAGGUCUGGGACGAGCCCUGGGAAUCAGCAUGGGAGCAGUGGCAGCCAUCCUGUGGCCCUGAGGGGAGCUGGCUGGAGGACAACCUGAAAUGCUGAGGGCAGCAGGAGGAAACACAGAAGGAACCUGCGUCCUGGGUGACAUCCCGGACCUGCUGCACUCGCCGGCCCUGGAGCCACCUGCCUCUGGCUUCAUGUGAGCUGUCACACUGUUAUUAUUAUUUCGUUCCUCAAGUAGGGGUUUCCUGCUCCUUGCAGCCGGAAGCAGUAAGUGGUAGCCACCCCACCCCUGCAGGGCAGUCUUCUGAUGGCUCUGAGCUCCCUGAGGUGGGGGCGAGGCAGGGUCUGUGCUCCACUCUGAGGGCCCAGUGGAGCAGCAGGUGUUCGAACACAUAGGGUUUACCCCAGGCAGAAACCACCCUCAUAAGGGCAUGAGACCCAGGCAGAGUGAGCUCUCUGGCCUCUUGGUAUUUUCUUUUGUGUCUGUCUUCUCAGCAGCCUAUGAGCUCCUCCAGGGCAAAAAACUGCCAUCAUGCUAAGGGGUUCUGGACCCUGGGGCCAGGCACAGGGCCAGGGACAGAGUGGGCAGGUAACGAAGGCUUGCUGGGCACCGUGGGAGAGAAGGGAACGGAGGCAUUGAGGGGCAAGAGAAAAGGAGAAGUGGAAGGCCAGACAGGCAGAGAAGGAAAGGUUCGUGGAGAGCAGUCUCUUCAUGGGGACCCAAGGAGGCCCCACCAGAGAGGAACUGAGGCUGUGAAAUGGAAGGAUGGAGGCCUGAGGGAUCCAGGCCAGUGGACAAGUGAGCCCGAGCAGACGGAACCAUCCCCAUGCCUAUCUGGUUGUCUCCUCCUCCUCCUGCUCCUCACCCCCUUCCUCCUCCUCCACCUCCUCCUUCUCCCCCUCCUCCUCCUUCUCCCCCUCUUCCUCCUCGCCCUCUCCCUCCCCCUCUUCUUCCUCCUCCUCCCCCUCUUCCUCCCCCUCUUCAUCCCACUCUUCCUCCUCCCCUCUUCCUCCCCCUCUUCCUCCUCCUCCCCCUCUUACUCCUCCCCUUCUUCUUCCCCCUCUUCCUCCUCCCCUCUUCCUCCUCCUCCUCCUCCCCCUUCCUUCUCCUCCUCUUCUUCCUCCUCCUUCCCCUUCCUCCUCCUCCUCCCCCUCUUCUUCCUCCUUCUCCUAUCCUCUUUUUCUUCCUCAACCUUUUCCUCCUCCUCCUCCUCCUCCUUCCCCGCCUUACCCCUCCUUCCCCACACUCUGAAAUGAGCACAUGGCUCAGACUGAGAGGACAAACCUCCAGCUGAAUUUAGUUGUAGCUGUGGUUCCCCAAAAUGCUUUGAGGAUUCAUCAGAACCAGUAGCUGCCUCUCUGCUUCCUCAUCUACACACCUAAUUUUGUAGCUUCAGAACAGGUGUGACUCAGGCAGAGGAAGGGCUACACAGGUGUCACUGUGCCCACCCCUAGGGAGACUGCUACAGACAGACUUCCCGGUGGGACCCGGCCCCCACCCAUGCAUGGUGGCCACGGGCAUGAGGAGGGUGAUAAUGACAAGGGGAGCCACGAUGACCACAGGGUUUAUAGAGAUCUCGCCAUUUGCUGAGCAAUGUGGAGGAACGUUACACACACCAUGUCGCCUCCCCCGAUGCCUGCAGGGCAGGUAUCAUUGCCCUGCAUUCUAUUGAGGAGGAAAUUGAGUUGGAAGUGCCCAAGAUCACGUCGUUAAUAAAUGGCAGGGCCUAAACAAGCCCUUAGCCGCUAC
rnacentral:lncRNA from 1 species